rnacentral:rRNA from 1 species
GUUCCUAUGGGAGGCAGCAGUGGGGAAUAUUGGGCAAUGGGCGCAAGCCUGACCCAGCAACGCCGCGUGAAGGAAGAAGGCUUUCGGGUUGUAAACUUCUUUUAAGAGGGAAGAGCAGAAGACGGUACCUCUUGAAUAAGCCACGGCUAACUACGUGCCAGCAGCCGCGGUAAUACGUAGGUGGCAAGCGUUAUCCGGAUUUACUGGGUGUAAAGGGAGCGUAGACGGCAGGGCAAGUCUGGAGUGAAAGGCGGGGGCUCAACCCCCGGACUGCUCUGGAAACUGCCAGGCUGGAGUGCAGGAGG